rnacentral:rRNA from 1 species
CAGUCGCCGCGGUAAUACGUAGGGUGCAAGCGUUAAUCGGAAUUACUGGGCGUAAAGCGUGCGCAGGCGGUUAUAUAAGACAGAUGUGAAAUCCCCGGGCUCAACCUGGGAACUGCAUUUGUGACUGUAUAGCUAGAGUACGGCAGAGGGGGAUGGAAUUCCGCGUGUAGCAGUGAAAUGCGUAGAUAUGCGGAGGAACACCGAUGGCGAAGGCAAUCCCCUGGGCCUGUACUGACGCUCAUGCACGAAAGCGUGGGGAGCAAACAGGAUUAGAUACCCCUGUAGUCCCUGUCUCUUAUAU